rnacentral:rRNA from 1 species
UACGUAGGGUGCAAGCGUUGUCCGGAAUUAUUGGGCGUAAAGAGCUUGUAGGCGGUUUGUCGCGUCUGCUGUGAAAUUUCGGGGCUCAACCCCGAACUUGCAGUGGGUACGGGCAGACUAGAGUGUGGUAGGGGAGACUGGAAUUCCUGGUGUAGCGGUGAAAUGCGCAGAUAUCAGGAGGGACACCGAUGGCGAAGGCAGGUCUCUGGGCCACUACUGACGCUGAGAAGCGAAAGCGUGGGGAGCGAACAGG